AUUGAACGCUGGCGGCAGGCUUAACACAUGCAAGUCGAGCGGGGGAGGUUGCUUCGGUAACUGACCUAGCGGCGGACGGGUGAGUAAUGCUUAGGAAUCUGCCUAUUAGUGGGGGACAACAUUCCGAAAGGGAUGCUAAUACCGCAUACGCCCUACGGGGGAAAGCAGGGGAUCUUCGGACCUUGCGCUAAUAGAUGAGCCUAAGUCGGAUUAGCUAGUUGGUGGGGUAAAGGCCUACCAAGGCGACGAUCUGUAGCGGGUCUGAGAGGAUGAACCGCCACACUGGGACGGAGACACGGCCCAGACUCCUACGGGAGGCAGCAGUGUGGAAUAUUGGACAAUGGGCGGAAGCCUGAUCCAGCCAUGCCGCGUGUGUGAAGAAGGCCUUUUGGUUGUAAAGCACUUUAAGCGAGGAGGAGGCUCUUAAGGUUAAUACCCUUGAUGAGUGGACGUUACUCGCAGAAUAAGCACCGGCUAACUCUGUGCCAGCCGCCGCCGUAACAC
rnacentral:rRNA from 1 species